CUUGGUCAUUUAGAGGAAGUAAGAGUCGUAACAAGGUUUCCGUAGGUGAACCUGCGGAAGGAUCAUUAAAAGUAUAUAGUUAUACAUUCUGUGUAUCGACUAAAUAUACCCAUUCUGAGUACCUUGCCUGUUGCUUCCAUGGAGCCUGACACAUGUCACUCUGGGGAUUUACAUCCCGAGGGAGCCUCCGUGGAAGGUAAUCUAUUAACUCUUGAAUCCAAUGUCAUCUGUCUGAUAAUGUUUAUAACAAAUGUUAAAACUUUCAACAACGGAUCUCUUGGUUCUCGCAUCGAUGAAGAACGCAGCGAAAUGCGAUAAGUAGUGUGAAUUGCAGAAUUCAGUGAAUCAUCGAAUCUUUGAACGCACAUUGCGCCUAGCGGUAUUCCGCUAGGCAUGCCUGUUCGAGCGUCAUUUCAACCCUCAAGCCUAGCUUGGUAUUGGGUGUCACCGGCACGGUGCGCCUUAAAAUCAGUGGCGGUGCCAUCUGGCUUCAAGCGUAGUAAUACUUCUCGCUCUGGAUCCCGGGUGGUUACUUGCCAACAACCCCAUAUUUUUUAAGGUUGACCUCGGAUCAGGUAGGGAUACCCGCUGAACUUAAGCAUAUCAAUAAGCGGAGGAA
rnacentral:rRNA from 1 species